GACGAACGCUGGCGGCGUGCUUAACACAUGCAAGUCGAACGGUAAGGCCCUUCGGGGUACACGAGUGGCGAACGGGUGAGUAACACGUGGGUGAUCUGCCCUGCACUUCGGGAUAAGCCUGGGAAACUGGGUCUGAUACCGGAUAGGACCACUGCCUGCAUGGGUGGUGGUGGAAAGCUUUUGCGGUGUGGGAUGGGCCCGCGGCCUAUCAGCUUGUUGGUGGGGCGAUGGCCUACCAAGGCGACGACGGGUAGCCGGCCUGGGAGGGUGACCGGCCACACUGGGACUGAGAUACGGCCCAGACUCCUACGGGAGGCAGCAGUGGGGAAUAUUGCACAAUGGGCGCAAGCCUGAUGCAGCGACGCCGCGUGAGGGAUGACGGCCUUCGGGUUGUAAACCUCUUUCAGCACCGACGAAGCGUAAGUGACGGUAGGUGCAGAAGAAGGACCGGCCAACUACGUGCCAGCAGCCGCCGUAA
rnacentral:rRNA from 1 species